CCUCUGUCACGGUGCCACUGGCUUUCUGUCACGCUCCCCAUUUCUGUCCCAAGGGUUACAGGUAAACUGCCACCGAGGUUGCUAAAUUUGUUCACUCUUUUUUACAGUUUCCUCUACUGAGGUCACGUUGGCAGCUGUUUCCCUAUUUAGGAACUUAAAUGCAGUCCUCCGGUGGGUAUCCUGGGAAGCUAUUCUGUGCAGCACCACGCCGCCACCGGUGACUCCUCUUCCUCCCUCCACCUGCUCUGUGCUCUACAGACAACCGUUAGUCCCUGACUGCUUCCGGCCCCAGGUAGGCCUGCCUUUCAGUUCACCGGAGCUCUCCUGCCGGGAGUCACGGACAAACACCCUCUUCGCUGGGAACUGGAUGCAAAUAUGGGCAGGUGUGAACCCUAGAUGUGAAUUUGAGCCCGUUGGAAGGUACGUUUCUAAGGCGCAAGCCCAUUCUGAAGGAUCGCCCAGGACACGUCUUCCCUGGAGACCCCCACGGUAGCAGACGCUUGCCUCCUGAAGGGUUGAAGACAGCGGAGCAAGGCACCGGGAUCAGAAUCCAAAUCCUGUCUGGGACAGGUUUGGCUUGUUACAAACAACGCUUCUAUGGAGAUUCAUAUCUAAGUCUUUGCAUGGACAUGUGCCUUCAUUUCUUCUGAGUAAAUGCCUGGGGUGAAAUGUCUGGAGAAUAUGAUAAGGAACACACUGAAUAAAUAAAUACCCUGAAGGUCAAGGAGCACCAGGAGAACAAAAAUCCAUAUCCGCACAUGCGAAACAUUGACUGUGAACACCACGUCAGGGAGUUUAUGGACCUCCCCACCGCCACCAGCACCGGUUUCAUCCUUAAUCCCCUGGGAAUCCACCGAGGUGGUCAAGACAUCAGCUCUGACCUUAGUGACGUCAGGAAACCCAGCGAUCUUCCCUGAGCUACAGGGGAAUCGGCUCUCACCGCUCGUCCGACUGUAUCCCCGGACUGCGAGGAGGAAGCGGAUGCGGAAGCACAUGGGAAAGGUCGGUUCACUGCGUGAAUGCGUGGGGAUUCUAUUAAUGAGAUGACAACGUGCAGCGAACACAAGCCUCUGUCGUCCCUGCCUCUGCCAGGACGCACUGAGUCAGCUCACGCUCUCCCUGGUUUUCAUCACAACCAGACAAGCAGGACUGCCCUCUGCAGGCAAAGUAAAGUUCUUCUGGAAUUGAAAGAAGUAGAGAAAAUCCUGGAUCUGUUGCAGCUGCCUUUGAUAUGCAUUCCACUCAAUCAUUUGGUCACUGAGUCAGGACUCCACUGGCCCCUUAAGUUCUGGAAUUGAGGGCGUAGGGGAAUUGGGAGUAGGGGAGACAGAGUUGCCAAUCACCUCAUGAUUUCUCCUGAACCGGGCUCGUAGUGGGUUAAUCAAGCUACAGCCAUCACUUUGCUCCUACGGCCCCUGAUUUCCCAACACAGCUCUAAAAUGUCUCUGCAUAAAAUAGGACAACUCACUGACAACGUCCCGGAUCAUUUUGCCUGGAUCAUGGGUCAAAUAAAGGCCAAAGGGUGAGCGAUAAAAUAGUGAGCUGCAGAAACUUGGCCUGCUGUCUGGAGGUUAUUUGGCCUUUUCUCCCCUUAUCUCCUGGAUGCUGUGUCUCUAUCACUUUACUGUUCCUUUGCGUUCUUAUCCAAACCCACAGGCUGUGCUUCUACGAACACAUACAACAUGGAGAUCUAAGAUGUCAGUUUCAUGCACCACUCGAAAGAAAUGGCUGACCCUAGCCCCGUCCUCAGAGUUACAGGCAUGUAGGAACAUUUUUGGCUCAAAAUUCAGUCCUCCACCUCCAUUCUUCCACAUGUCCCUUUUCUAAUGAAAAGCAAUCUGGAAAACACACACACACACACACACACACACACACACACACACUCAACUAGCUCCAUUUUUUUUUUGCUUUUUUUUUUUUUUACUGUUUUCUGUGAACCAAAGUAUAGCUUUUUAUUUAUUCCCAUUAAGCUCAUGUAGAAGGAAAGUGUCGGAAGAGCCUCUAUCACAGUCAAGGUUUCAUAGUUUCACUAAAAAAAAAACGCGCCAUUAGAAUUUAGAAUUCUUCCCCAACUAUGAGUUUAAAAGGGUUAGGAAAAGUUCCCUGCCCAUGAUUCAGUGUAUAAAGCUCUAGAGAAACAUUUCAUAUGGGAAAAAUGAGGCCAAGCAAAGAGGAAAAUGAAAACAGGGAUCUGGAAGCAGCCAAUUGACAAGAGCAUCUCAAAAAAAUAGCAUUCCCAGGCAGCAAAAGGCACACACACACACACACACACACACCCCUAUGUUCCAUCCAUACACACAUGUACACAUGGGCACACAUAUACACACACGGCUUUGAACCCAGUGUGUGGUGCAACCAUGUUCAUGUUUCAUGGGCUCCUUCUGUGCUUUGUUCGUAAUCUCUAAAUUCUACUGCAGGAGCCAAGUUCUGGAAAGGUCAAACAUGAUUCUCUAGUUGAUUGUUUGUUUUUAAUGCAGGAAUUCCUGACUGUAUCUCUUUUGGCUUCCAUACCACGGUGACCAUUUAUCUAUUCGACAGAUAUAUUCCUUGGUGAAUAUCUACCAUGUUCUAGGCUCUGUGUAUGCAGCUUUAUGGAACACUGUCUUUGACUUAUGGCACUCCUGCUCUUGGAUGAGAUGGGCGUAGAAAUAGGUAAUUAGAACAAAAACGUGCGGUAUGAAGGAGUACAUGCACCAUAUGUGGAAACACAAAUAAAGGAAUGGCUAACCCUG